UUUGUUUUGAAGUGAUGCACAUGUCAGGUGUUACAGAACUUUCUCUGCUUCAUCUUUUCCAGCUGCUUCGUUUACAUGAUUGACUGCUCGCACAACCCUGCACUCUUCUGCGGCAGCGCGGAGCUGGGAACCGACGGCGAAUCUUCAAUAACAGGUGAUCACGGCUCAGCAAACAACAUCAAAACCAGAACGGCGAGCGCCAGAACAGCCGUCCUCUCAGCCUUGAAAUCACACUUCGGUUCCGUGCGACUCGAGGAGAACCUUGCCCUGGGUGUGUGAUCCCUCUAAUGGAAAAUGGUGUAUAAUCGAGAGGAGAGCUGUAAAACAAACAUCCAGACCCCUUUGGUCAUAAAACAGCAGUAUGUGUCAUGUCAGGAUGGAGACGAGUGGAUCUGCAGCCCCCGAUGACAAAGCCACGCUGAGAAACACAUCCAGAGCACAUGGACAUGCUGGUGACACACAGACAGAUGCAUUUGUAGAGACACAGACAUACGUGUUGUCAAAUUCAAGAUAUAUAUUCUCUAAAUCCACAAACAGUAGAACUAGUAAUACUUUCCAAUAAAGGUCCAGUGUGUAAGAUUUAGAUGAAAGGGAACAAUUGUCAGAAAUGUAUAA